rnacentral:rRNA from 1 species
GAUGAACGCUAGCGGCAGGCUUAAUACAUGCAAGUCGAGGGGCAGCACAGAUAGCAAUAUUGGGUGGCGACCGGCAAACGGGUGCGGAACACGUACACAACCUUCCUUUUAGUGUGGGAUAGCCCAGAGAAAUUUGGAUUAAUACCACAUAGUAUAUUGGAGUGGCAUCACUUUGGUAUUAAAGAUUUAUCGCUAAAAGAUGGGUGUGCGUAUGAUUAGGUAGUUGGUAGAGGUAACGGCUCACCAAGCCUUCGAUCAUUAACUGGUGUGAGAGCACGACCAGUCACACGGGCACUGAGACACGGGCCCGGCUCCUACGGGAGGCAGCAGUAAGGAAUAUUGGUCAAUGGACGGAAGUCUGAACCAGCCAUGCCGCGUGAAGGAUGACGGCCCUCUGGGUUGUAAACUUCUUUUAUGUGGGACGAAAAAGGGCCAUUUUUGGUCAACUGACGGUACCAUAGGAAUAAGCACCGGCUAACUCCGUGCCAGCCGCCGCUGUAA